AGGACGAACGCUGGCGGCACGCCUAACACAUGCAAGUCGAACGGAGAUUACUAAGCUUGCUUGUAAUCUUAGUGGCGGACGGGUGAAUAACACGUGAGCAACCUGCCUCUGAGAGAGGGAUAGCUUCUGGAAACGGAUGGUAAUACCUCAUAAUAUACAUUGACCGCAUGAUUGAUGUAUCAAAGAUUUAUCACUCAGAGAUGGGCUCGCGUCUGAUUAGGUAGUUGGUGAGGUAACGGCUCACCAAGCCGACGAUCAGUAGCCGGACUGAGAGGUUGAACGGCCACAUUGGGACUGAGACACGGCCCAGACUCCUACGGGAGGCAGCAGUGAGGGAUAUUGCACAAUGGAGGAAACUCUUGAUGCAGCGAUGCCGCGUGGAGGAAGAAGGUUUUCGGAUUGUAAACUCCUGUUUCGAGGGACGAUAAUGACGGUACCUCGGGAGGAAGCUCCGGCUAACUACGUGCCAGCCGCGGC
rnacentral:rRNA from 1 species